UGAACAUUGAUUCUGAUGUUGGAGAAU
rnacentral:piRNA from 1 species